AGAAUCAACGCUGGCGGCGUGCCUAACACAUGCAAGUCGCACGAGAAAGGGACUUCGGUCCUGAGUACAGUGGCGCACGGGUGAGUAACACGUGAAUAAUCUACCUCCGAGUGGGGAAUAACUGAGAGAAAUCUUAGCUAAUACCGCAUAACACUUACGAGUCAAAGCAGCAAUGCGCUUGGAGAGGAGUUCGCGGCAGAUUAGUUAGUUGGCGGGGUAAUGGCCCACCAAGACGAUGAUCUGUAUCCGGCCUGAGAGGGCGCACGGACACACUGGAACUGAAACACGGUCCAGACUCCUACGGGAGGCAGCAGUGGGGAAUUUUUGCGCAAUGGGGGAAACCCUGACGCAGCAACGCCGCGUGGAGGAUGAAUCCCUUGGGAUGUAAACUCCUUUCGAUCGGGAAGAUAAUGACGGUACCGAGAGAGAGCCCGCUACUCGUGCAGCAGCCGC
rnacentral:rRNA from 1 species